GCAGGUUUGUCUAUAUUUACCAGACAGCUGCUCUCCCCAAGAUUACACACAAUGCCGCACGGUAGCAAAAUAGAGAGAAGUGGGUCACAGUUUCAUCUGCACUUAUCCUCUGGUUUUAUGUCCUCUCUCUAGUCAACUUUCAGUAUUUUCGGUGAAGUCUGAGAUGCCAGCCAUCCUCACAAAUAGUAAUCACAUCCCAAGAAGUAGCUAUUCUCCUAUUUAGCACCGUCGAUGAGUCUGACAAUAUUUGAAUGUUCUUCCAUCCUUGCUUCAUCGCAAUUUGGAUUGUUUUCCGAAUUGCUAACGCUUCAGCUAUCACGGCUUUUCCAACAAAAGGAAGUGGACUACCAUGGGCAUGAAGCACCUGACCAUUAGCCUUCAAAGCUACCACUCACUUUCCGAGUAUUUGGAACCAAGUUGCAUCAACAUAAAGCAACAUACUUUCUGAAGGAAAGGUCAGUGAAGUUGGGCUAGUCACAACAUGUCACUCUUGACGCAUAGGGCUUGCACUAUUUAUUUCACCUGUAAACUCCUUAAAAUCGGAUAAAGCUUUUGAUAAAAUUUCAGUAUCACUCCACUAUAAGGAACUAAAUAAAUAGUCUUUUCUAGCUUUCCAAA